rnacentral:rRNA from 1 species
CCUACGGGUGGCAGCAGUGGGGAAUAUUGGGCAAUGGGCGCAAGCCUGACCCAGCAACGCCGCGUGAAGGAAGAAGGCUUUCGGGUUGUAAACUUCUUUUCUCAGGGACGAAGCAAGUGACGGUACCUGAGGUAUAAGCCACGGCUAACUACGUGCCAGCAGCCGCGGUAAUACGUAGGUGGCAAGCGUUAUCCGGAUUUACUGGGUGUAAAGGGCGUGUUGGCGGGGAUGCAAGUCAGAUGUGAAAACCUUGGGCUCAAACGAUGGCCUGCAUUUGAUACUGUAGUUCUUGAGGACUGGAGAGGCGGACGGAAGUCCUAGUGUAGCGGUGAAAUGCGUAGAUAGUAGGAGGAACACCAGUGGCGAAGGCGGUCUGCUGGACAGCAACUGACGCUGAGGCGCGAAAGCGUGGGGAGCAAACAGGAUUAGAUACCCCUGUAGUC